rnacentral:rRNA from 1 species
UACGUAGGGGGCAAGCGCUGUCCGGAUUUAUUGGGCGUAAAGAGCGUGUAGGCGGCUAGGUAGGUCCGUUGUGAAAACUCGAGGCUCAACCUCGAGACGCCGGUGGAAACCAUCUAGCUAGAGUCCGGAAGAGGAGAGUGGAAUUCCUGGUGUAGCGGUGAAAUGCGCAGAUAUCAGGAAGAACACCCGUGGCGAAGGCGGCUCUCUGGGACGUGACUGACGCUGAGACGCGAAAGCGUGGGGAGCGAACAGG